GCCUGCAUGAAGCCGGAAUUGCUAGUAAUGGCAGGUCAGCAUACUGCCGUGAAUACGUUCCCGGGCCUUGUACACACCGCCCGUCACACCAUGAGAGUUGGGGAUACCCAAAGCCCGUGAGCCAACUGUAAAGAGGCAGCGGUCUAAGGUAGAAUCAAUGAUUGGGGUGAAGUCGUAACAAGGUACC
rnacentral:rRNA from 1 species